UGUUAGUUAGAUUAAGAUUGAUUCUGUCUUGUUUUAAAGUUGGUUGGCUAAACGGUUAGGUAAUAUUAAAUAUGAGUUUUUGCGUGGUUUUUAUUUGUCUAAAGGGCAUUUAUUUUUGUUAAUUGUAGUUUUUAAUUUUGAAAAUUCACGUAAAUGUGGAUUUAGUUAAUUAAGUUUAGAGUUGUACAAGGUUGUGCCAGCAUACGCGGUUACACAACUGACUCAAGUCAACUUUUUUGGUUUAUAUUAAUUAUAUAAUUUUGGGAAUUGAAAUUAUUUUAUUAGGUGAAAUUUUUAAUUUGGUUUAUAUUUUCUUGGUUUUGGAUUAUAUGAAGUUUAGGAUUUAAACUAGGAUUAGAUACCCUAUUAUUCUAAAUGUUAAAUGUAACCAUAGUAUUA
rnacentral:rRNA from 1 species